ACUUAAAUAGCUUAAAUUAGAGCAUGACGUUGAAGGUGUUAGGGUGGUGACUUCAUCUUUAAGUG
rnacentral:tRNA from 1 species